rnacentral:rRNA from 1 species
UCGAACGAAGUAGCAAUACUUAGUGGCAGACGGGUGAGUAACAUGUGGGUAUCUGCCCUUUGGCCUGGAAUAACACGAGGAAACUUGUGCUAAUACCGGAUAAGUCUUUACGGAGAAAGCUUUAUGCACCAUUGGAUGAGCCCGCACUUGAUUAGUUUGUUGGUAGGGUAAUGGCCUACCAAGACUGUGAUCAAUAGCUGAUUUGAGAGGAUGAUCAGCCACAUUGGGACUGAGACACGGCCCAAACUCCUACGGGAGGCAGCAGUGGGGAAUCUUGCACAAUGGAGGAAACUCUGAUGCAGCGAUGCCGCGUGAGUGAAGAAGGCCCUUGGGUUGUAAAGCUCUUUCGUCGGGGAAGAAAAUGACUGUACCCGAAUAAGAAGGUCCGGC